AAUGUACUCCCUCCAUUCUGAAUUACUUGUCGCAGGUAUGGAUGUAUCUAUAUGUAUUUUAGUUCUAGAUACAUCCAUUUCUGCGAUGAGUAAUUUGGAAUGGAGGGAGUACCUC
rnacentral:pre_miRNA from 1 species